rnacentral:tRNA from 1 species
GUGGGUGUAGCUCAGUGGUUAGAGCACCAGGUUGUGGCCCUGGGGGUCGUGGGUUCAAUUCCCAUCACCCAUCCCA